rnacentral:rRNA from 1 species
UUCGGUGGCUAUAUCCGCAGGGAUCACCUCUUCCCAUUCCGAACAGAGAAGUUAAGCCUGCGAGAGCCGAUGGUACUGCGCUUCGGCGCGGGAGAGUAGGUCGCUGCCGAGC